GCACACAACAGGAAGGGGCUUUUAAUUAUGCUGUAAGCCAAAGCAGUCGUGGAAGCAGGAUGGAUGGAUGGAUAGAUGGAUGGAUGGAUUGAUGGAUGGAUUUUGAUCAUUGUGCUUACAAUGCAGCUCCAGACAGUGGGGCAUUGGUCAUUGUAUAAAUUAUUGCUAUCCAGCUUUAAAAAUGAAUGAAUAUAAAAAAAAAGCAGCAAGUAAUAUUGUUGUUGUUUUUUCUUUUCUUUCUUUAUUUGAGUAAACCUUAAACCAUUUUCCAAAACAAAGAUCUACAUAAACGUCAGUUUGACAGAAGAGGCCAGUCAAGUGGGUGAGCCAUGAGAAUGGACAGGGAUGGGCAAAAUGUGUAGAUGUUACAGAUAAAACAUGGUGAUGUAACUAAACACAGUAUGACACAAAACUAAGUUAUUACUACUCGCUUACGAUAAGACAAGUAAUUGUGUGUAAAGUCAGGGACACAUUACUGACCAGUGAUAUGAAGUAAGGAUGGAUCAAAAGUUUGUGUCAGUGUUCUGACACUUUAACUUACUGUGGAUGGCAUAUGGAUAAAAUGUCUUUUAUUUCUUCAGUGACGAUAUAAUAUGGACAUUUACAUGCUGAUCAAGCUUCUACUUUAGUGGAUCUGUUCACCAGUUCAUUGCUGUUUAACUUCUGUAAAUGUUGUCCUGUGUUGUGUGAACAAUACACUGCCCCUGAGCUCCUUAGUCCAAACUAGUCAACUACGUGUUGGCAACUAAUGUUACUGUAAGCAGAAGUUAGCAGUUAGCAUUAUAAUUAAAUCACAGAGAGUUGUUUAGGCGGAGCAGCCAGAGGACAUCAGAAAACAUUUUCUCCAUAUAGCUGCUAUUGUGUGUGAUGUAUAAAAUUUCAUGAGUACUGCUUAAUUGACUGAGUGCCGAAUUGUUUCAAACAAUUUUUGAUUUUUUCCUGUUUUUUUAAUGUUUUCUUAGAGCUAUGGUUUAAGUAUAUAACAAAAAUGUAGACUGGAAUACUAUGCAUGGUCUGAAACAUUUAAGUUGAUGUAAUAUGAACAUUGGUAACUGUUAAUCACUGGAAGCAGAACCCAGUUUAAGGUGAAAUAUAAUAUAAUCAAGACAAUAUAAUGCUGUAAAACAGGGAGACCACAAUGUUUGAGCAUCCAGGAUGGGAGGUGUUGGGCACCUGCACUUGUAGUAGUAAGACUUGGGAGUAUGGUCUGUGUUAAAGUGUGAAACUUACAAUAUAACUGUGUGAAACAAUGUGAAACUUACAAGACUUUUAGAAAAUGUACCAUAAUAACUGUGUGAAACCUAUAACAGUGUGAAAUAUAUAAAACCUUAAAAAAAUACAGUUGAAGAAAUCUGUGACAUGAUGGUGUAAGAAAAGGUAAUAAAGGGUUUUUAAAAAAUAGUAUAAUUGUAAAACAGAAUCUAAUGAUGUCAUCCAGUGAAGAAUAAAACAAAAGAAAACAUCUUGGCCUCAAUAGACCAAGAGCAGUAGGUGUAAGACGAGACACCAUUAAGAAUGGAAAAUCCCCAAAACAUUGGUCGAGCCUGAGGGUCCACCAUUAUGUCACAGAGAAAGUUUGAUGAUAAUAGGCUGGACAAACACAAACAGGCAGGACAUAUGAAAUUUGCAUAAAGGUAAUAAUAAUUUGCAGAAAGCCUGAGUCAGCGAAUUCAGUCAUUACCAUCAUGACUCAGGCUUUGUAUUGUCUGUCAAGAUAAUAAAAGCUCUAUCUGCUGCCAGUCCUGAUGAAUCCUGUGUGUUAUUGCCUGCUGAAGUAGAGUAACACUAUUUGACCUGCAGCUGAAAUUAGACAAGUUGCAUCCAGUCUGCAGAGCAAGAGACAAGUUGAAGACAACAUGUGCCAUAAACAGCUGCACACUUCUUAUGGGAGAUGGUACCUGUUCAAGUAGGUUACAUAGUGCAGUGGAAAGGAAGGAAGAAGUGUUUAGACUUCAGAGGCGUCAUUCAUAAGGUUUCUUUAAUAUUGGAUUUGUACUACCAAUUGAGCUAUUUCAGUCAUUUUGCCAUCCGUUUCUUGAUACUUCUGAAAUUUUUUAUACCAAGUAAAAGAUAUCAUAGAUGUCAAACAUUGUCAUAAUCCCCAACUAUUACAGCUAGAAUGCUGAAGGUGAUCAGCUUUUCCCACUCAGUUGCUCAUAAUUACACUUUUUAACCACUUUUUUAAUAUCUGACAGAUGUGUUUUAGUGCGUUUAAGCCUUCAUAGCAAAUGAGGGAUAAUGUAAUGGAAAAUUUAUAUUACAUGAUUGUGUGUUCUUUUAUAACCAUAUAUAGCCAUGUUUGAUCUCAGUAAUAUUCAAAAAGUUUUUGAAGUAUAACACUGUGUGCCUUAUAAUCUUGUUUGGUUUCACUCAGUACCUUGCACUUAGAAAUCUUUCUCUCAUUUAUGCAAGUUGUUUGAAGAAGUAGUUUUCUGAUGUAUAAACUUGACCUUGGUUCUCACGGUCCAGCAGAGCUUGUUAGUGAGGUUUGAUAGGGAUGAACACACUCCAUUGUAACCACCUGGUACAGUUAGAUAAGUAAAUCAUAAUAAUGACGAAUACUCCUUAGAAAUGUAUAAGAAUCAGUGUGGGACUGCCCCACCCUGAACAUUUUCUGCAGACUGUCUUGUGCAUUUGCAGAACUGCCCCUCUUGCAAGAAUAAAAUGAAAAAAACCUUUAAGGACCAAUUGUUUGACUCAAGAUCCUUAUUUUGUGUCGGUAAAUUGCUUCCUAGAAAUUUCAGCAACAAACUUGGCGUUGUCGGCAGGAUCUCAGGCUGAUCGCUCAGGACCCAGAGAAGGUGACUGAUCAUCUGAGACUGAUCAAAUUUGUCUCACCUCCACCUCAGUUCAUUCGAGACGGGAGGACCCUCUCCGUCGACCUAGAAGCUGUCACCUUGAGGUCCAACAAACUCAGAUUAACAGAAAACAUCCUAAAUUCAGGACGACAGGUUGCCAGUGCACAGCCCUCAGCGGCCUCAGGUCCUCUACAUGACAUUAAGCCUGGAGAUUUCGUGGUGGUAAAGAACUUCAGGGGAAAGUCUUGGAGACAUCAUCGCUGGUUGGGA